rnacentral:rRNA from 1 species
AACGAACGCUGGCGGCAUGCCUAACACAUGCAAGUCGAACGAUGGCUUCGGCCAUAGUGGCGCACGGGUGAGUAACACGUGGGAACCUGCCUUUCGGUUCGGAAUAACGUUUGGAAACGAACGCUAACACCGGAUACGACCUUCGGGGGAAAGUUCACGCCGAGAGAGGGGCCCGAGUCCGCUUAGGUAGUUGGUGGGGUAACGGCGUACCAAGCCGACGAUCGGUAGCUGGUCUGAGAGGAUGUUCCGCCACACUGGGACUGAGACACGGCCCAGAAUCCUAGGGGAGGCAGCAGUGGGGAAUAUUGGACAAUUGAGGAAACCCUGAUCUAGCCAUGCCGCGUGAGCGAUGAACGCCUUAGGGUUGUAAAGAUCUUUCAGGUGGGAAGAUAAUGACUGUACCACCAGAAGAAGCCCCGGCUAACUCCGUGCCAGCCGCCGCCGUAA